rnacentral:RNase_P_RNA from 2 species
ACAGUUAGCCGGUUUGUCGCUUGUAGCAAUACAGGAGGAAAGUCCGGGCAACACAGAGCAUCCUACUUUUUAACUGAAAGCCAUCCGCGAGGGUAGAGUAACGCAGAAGAAAAUAACCGCCAUUCCUUACAUGGAAUGGUAAGGGUGAGAAGGUGGAGUAAGAGCCCACCAGCCGAUGUGGCGACACAACGGGCUGUGCGUCUUAGGAGUUGUAAGGUCAUGUAUACCGGCAUUAUGAGGGUUGCUCGCCCCACGUCGGAGGGUAGACCGCUAAAGUAAUGUGGCAACAUAUUACGCAGAUAAAUGACAAACACCUUAAUUUAUAUUAAGGAACAGAACCCGGCUUAUAGGCUGACUGUUUUA